rnacentral:rRNA from 1 species
UACGUAGGGUGCGAGCGUUGUCCGGAUUUACUGGGCGUAAAGAGCUCGUAGGCGGUUUGUCACGUCGUCUGUGAAAACCCGAGGCUUAACCUCGGGCCUGCAGGCGAUACGGGCAGACUUGAGUACUGUAGGGGAGACUGGAAUUCCUGGUGUAGCGGUGGAAUGCGCAGAUAUCAGGAGGAACACCGGUGGCGAAGGCGGGUCUCUGGGACGGUACUGACGCUGAGACGCGAAAGCGUGGGGAGCGAACAGG